CGAAAGCUGUGCUAAUACCGCAUACGAUCUAAGGAUAGAAAGGCGGGGGAUCGCAAGACCUCGCGCGAUUGGAGCGGCCGAUAUCAGAUUAGGUAGUUGGUGAGGUAAGGCUCACCAAGCCAACGAUCUGUAGCUGGUCUGAGAGGACGACCAGCCACACUGGAACUGAGACACGGUCCAGACUCCUACGGGGAGGCAGCAGUGGGGAAUUUUCCGCAAUGGGCGAAAGCCUGACGGAGCAAUACCGCGUGAGGGAAGAAUGCCUAUGGGUUGUAAACCUCUUUUUCAGGGAGGAAUAAAAUGACGUGUACCUGAAGAAUAAGCAUCGGCUAACUCCGUG
rnacentral:rRNA from 1 species